GUGUGGCUCUUAAACCAAUGGUCCUCUAGAUAUGUUUCAUCCCUUCUUGGCCAAUAUCCCCAAAGGUCCAAACAUGUCUUGAAAUCAAAAUGUUCCCUUUCUGAUAAAAAUGUUUUCAUCAAAGAGUAAAAAGUUCAUACUCAAAGAUUCCAUUUUUGCUACACCCAAAGAUACAAGCUAAAAUCAUGGAAAGACAAAACAAGCGUGACAUUUCAAACUGUGUCCAUGGGAACAAGAGCAGGACAUGGAGUGACACUAUGGGGAUCUGAAAUCUCACUGAACAUUCAGCUCUCUGAACUCUUCAGGGCCUCACUCCAUAAUACCAUAUAACACCCCUCAGAGGGACACGAAAAGGUAAUGAUGACAGGAAGUGAUGAGAGAAAAGAAGUUGGAUGGUUCAAGAAAACAGACAUGCUCAAGAACUUGGUUCACUCACUCUCCGAUGCUUGGGUCCUGAUUACACAGUUGGAGGGCCAGUUUAUCACUAAGGUCCUUCAGCGUCUCUUACCUCACCCAAAGAGGGAAAGAGAUACAAUCAAAAUGAUAGUCCACUUACAUUAUAAACAAGAGAAUUUAAAGAGACAUGACCCAGUUACUCACCUGUGGAGGGACAAGUUGAGAGCAGCUCAUGAGCUCUGAGUUGGUGGAUAUAUAUAACUU
ensembl:lncRNA